rnacentral:lncRNA from 1 species
GAGAUUAUCUUUUAUUUAAACUACUGAAAUGAAGUACACUAAUAAACUUGAAAAUUAAUUGUGGCAGAACCAAAAAAUGGAAACCUUUUCUAUGUACCCAGGAUUACAAUAACAAUCUAAGAGACCCAUCCAUAAAAUCUACAAAAGAUACAAAGACUUGGAUAAUACACUCAUCUAAAAUCAUACCACAGAGCCUGAGUUAUGAUUUGUAUGCAGCUGUCAAAUUACAUGACUGAUAUUCAGUGAAAAUAUGACAAGAUAUCAUAAGUUAUUUAAUAUUCUUCUGGCUAGAAGAAACUAGGAGUAUAAUUUUCUCUAAUCCCAUUUAAUAGGACAUGUUUGAAAAUUAAUGGAGAAUAUUCAUUUUACUUGGGGUUUUGAAAAGUUUGAAUGAAGUCAUAAUGUCACAAGACAGCUGAGUAACAACACAUAAUAGUCAAUGAAAAUGC